ensembl:misc_RNA Metazoa_SRP Metazoan signal recognition particle RNA
GCCGGGCAUGAUGGUGGGUGCCUGUAGUCCCAGCUACUUGGGAGGCUGAGGCAGGAGAAUCGCUUGAACCCAGGAGGCAGAGGUUGCAGUGAGCCAAGAUUGCACCACUGCACUCUAGCCUGGGUGACAGAGUGAGACCCUGUCUCAA